rnacentral:rRNA from 1 species
UGGGGAAUAUUGCACAAUGGGCGAAAGCCUGAUGCAGCAACGCCGCGUGCGGGAAGAAGGCCCUAGGGUUGUAAACCACUUUCAGCAGGGAAGAAAAUGACGGUACCUGCAGAAGAAGGUGCGGCCAACUACGUGCCAGCAGCCGCGGUGACACGUAGGCACCAAGCGUUGUCCGGAUUUAUUGGGCGUAAAGAGCUCGUAGGCGGUUCAGUAAGUCGGGUGUGAAAACUCUGGGCUCAACCCAGAGACGCCACCCGAUACUGCUGUGACUUGAGUACGGUAGGGGAGUGGGGAAUUCCUGGUGUAGCGGUGAAAUGCGCAGAUAUCAGGAGGAACACCAGUGGCGAAGGCGCCACUCUGGGCCGUAACUGACGCUGAGGAGCGAAAGCGUGGGGAGCAAACAGGAUUAGAUACCCAAGUAGUCCCUGAGCGGGCUGGCAAGGCGCAU